AUUGAACGCUGGCGGCAGGCCUAACACAUGCAAGUCGAGCGGAUGAAGGGAGCUUGCUCCUGGAUUCAGCGGCGGACGGGUGAGUAAUGCCUAGGAAUCUGCCUGGUUUUGGUGGAUAACGUCCGGAAACGGGCGCUAAUACCGCAUACGUCCUGAGGGAGAAAGUGGGGGUUCUUCGGACCUCACGCUAUCAGAUGAGCCUAGGUCGGAUUAGCUAGUUGGUGGGGUAAAGGCCUACCAAGGCGACGAUCCGUAACUGGUCUGAGAGGAUGAUCAGUCACACGGGAACUGAGACACGGUCCAGACUACUACGGGAGGCAGCAGUGGGGAAUAUUGGACAAUGGGCGAAAGCCUGAUCCAGCAAUGCCGCGUGUGUGAAGAAGGUCUUCGGAUUGUAAAGCACUUUAAGUUGGGAGGAAGGGAAGUAAGUUAAUACCUUGCUGUUUUGACGUUACCAACAGAAUAAGCACCGGCUAACUUCGUG
rnacentral:rRNA from 1 species